GUGGGGAAUCUUGCGCAAUGGGCGAAAGCCUGACGCAGCCAUGCCGCGUGAAUGAUGAAGGUCUUAGGAUUGUAAAAUUCUUUCACCGGGGACGAUAAUGACGGUACCCGGAGAAGAAGCCCCGGCUAACUUCGUGCCAGCAGCCGCGGUAAUACGAAGGGGGCUAGCGUUGCUCGGAAUUACUGGGCGUAAAGGGCGCGUAGGCGGACAGUUUAGUCAGAGGUGAAAGCCCAGGGCUAAACCUUGGAAUUGCCUUUGAUACUGGCUGUCUUGAGUACGGGAGAGGUGAGUGGAACUCCGAGUGUAGAGGUGAAAUUCGUAGAUAUUCGGAAGAACACCAGUGGCGAAGGCGACUCACUGGCCCGUUACUGACGCUGAGGCGCGAAAGCGUGGGGAGCAAACAGGAUUAGAAACCCGGGUAGUCC
rnacentral:rRNA from 1 species